GUAACACGUAUGCAACCUACCCUUUACUGGGGCAUAGCUCAGAGAAAUCUGAAUUAAUUCCCCAUAAUAUAAUUAGAUGGCAUCAUUUGAUUAUUAAAGCUGAGGCGGUAAAGGAUGGGCAUGCGUUGCAUUAGCUAGUUGGUGAGGUAAUGGCUCACCAAGGCUACGAUGCAUAGGGGUUCUGAGAGGAUGAUCCCCCACACUGGUACUGAGACACGGACCAGACUCCUACGGGAGGCAGCAGUAGGGAAUAUUGGUCAAUGGACGCAAGUCUGAACCAGCCAUGCCGCGUGCAGGAAGACGGCCCUCUGGGUUGUAAACUGCUUUUAUAUGGGAAGAAACCCCUGGAUGCGUCCAGGGCUGACGGUACUUUAUGAAUAAGGAUCGGCUAACUUCGUGCCAGCAGCCGCGGUAAGACGAAGGAUCCAAGCGUUGUCCGGAUUUACUGGGUUUAAAGGGUGCGUAGGCGGACCGAUAAGUCAGUGGUGAAAGCCCAUAGCUCAACUAUGGAACUGCCAUUGAAACUGCCGGUCUUGAAUUCGGUUGAGGCAGAUGGAAUAUAACAUGUAGCGGUGAAAUGCUUAGAUAUGUUAUAGAACACCGAUUGCGAAGGCAGUCUGCUAAGUCGACAUUGACGCUGAGGCA
rnacentral:rRNA from 1 species